AGUUUGUUGAUUGCGAUAUAUUUGAGUUUGAAUCACUUUUUUUUUGUUAACAAUUUGUUGUAUUUUAAGAAAUAGUGUGAAUUUAUUCCAUGUGUGUGCAGAGAUUUGCUGUUCAGUAAUGUCCACCACCUGGGUCCAGAGGCUGGUUACCCCUCUAGUGUAUUGGUACCUAGAAUAUUUGGAAUUGGCAAUAUAGAGUGUGCAUGGGGACUGCGAAUAAGUAUACACAUUGUUAUGUGUCUUUAUGUUGGGUAUGUGGAUGUAAGUGUUUUCAUGUGUACGCAUGAGCGUGGGAAUGUGUGAUUGUGACUGUGUGCCUGUUGCAUGUUAGGUUGUGUCAGGUUGCGUCAAAUAUGGGGUCUAUUUCCUCCCUGUCACAGUCCCAGCCGGUGGCAGGUUUCUCUGUUGUUAGUGGUUCAUGGUGUCCAGGGCUGGGUGUUCUGGUCUGUGCCGGCCUGUGGGAUUCUGCAGCUCCCUGGAGCUUCUGCACUGUGGCUGCUGGUUGGUUACCCUGGGGCUAUCCUCUGCUCAUCUCUGGGAGGUCUGUGGCUAACACACACACCUGCUAUUGAACAUUCUUAUGGAGAAACCUUAUAUGCACAAGCGCGCUCACACAUAUAGCCACAAGUGUUUGGAUUUAGGUAUUACUAUAAUUUAGGCAUUAUAGUGAUGGCCUUAAUGGUUUACUUGUGAAAGUAAAUCUAUUGGGCUUCUUCUAGGCACUCAGACAACAAUUCUGAGUGAUACUGUGUCAGACAGGACACGUUAAAAUAAAUAAAUAAAAUAAGGCUUACAGAAAUGUAAAAAAAAAAAAACUCAGUUUCCUAUAGUUGCUAUUUAAACUUGAGGCUGUUAAUGAAAUACGCUGUGUUUUAAGCAUAA